GUGGGGAAUAUUGGGCAAUGGGCGCAAGCCUGACCCAGCAACGCCGCGUGAGGGAAGAAGGCUUUCGGGUUGUAAACCUCUGUCCUUGGUGACGAAACAAAUGACGGUAGCCAAGGAGGAAGCCCCGGCUAACUACGUGCCAGCAGCCGCGGUAAUACGUAGGGGGCGAGCGUUGUCCGGAAUUACUGGGCGUAACGGGUGCGUAGGUGGCCUUUUAAGUUGGAUGUGAAAUACCCGGGCUUAACGUGGGGGGUGCAUCCAAAACUGGGAGGCUAGAGUGCAGGAGAGGAAGGCGGAAUUCCUAGUGUAGCGGUGAAAUGCGUAGAUAUUAGGAGGAACACCAGUGGCGAAGGCGGCUUUCUGGACUGUAACUGACACUGGGGCACGAAAGCGUGGGGAGCAAACAGGAUUAGAAACCCCAGUAGUCC
rnacentral:rRNA from 1 species